rnacentral:snoRNA from 1 species
AAGACUAUAUUUUCAGGGAUCAUUUCUAUAGUUCGUUACUAGAGAAGGUUCUCUGAACGUGUAGGGCACCAAAAGCCAUGAAGAGGAGGCACAGCGUUCUCUCCUGAGUGUGAAGCCGCCUCUAGGUGUUGCUUUGUGCAACGGCCUUUUGCCAUUGAUGAUUGUUCUUCUCUUCCUUUGGAAGAGUAAGAGGGAGAGAACGCAGUGAGUGGU